rnacentral:rRNA from 1 species
UACGGAGGGUGCGAGCGUUGUCCGGAAUCAUUGGGCGUAAAGGGCGCGUAGGUGGCCCAGUAAGCGUGCGGUGAAAGCUCGGGGCUCAACCCCGAGUCGGCCGUGCGAACUACUGGGCUGGAGCACUGUAGAGGCAGGCGGAAUUCCGGGUGUAGCGGUGGAAUGCGUAGAGAUCCGGAAGAACACCGGUGGCGAAGGCGGCCUGCUGG